GAAGGUGGAUGUGUUUGUCUUAGGAUGUCAGUACACAGAGGACAGCCUUGCUUCUUGACCAUUCCUAGGCCAUGAGCCAACUACAUGGUGGUUCUCAGAUCUGUAAGUGUUGAGAAUCUGUGUACUUUAUUGGACAGAACUGGGUCCAGGUCCCUGGUGGGACACGCGCAGGACCGGGCUGGGUGGCUAUAAUGGGAAGCAGACCUUUGCACCUGACUAAUGGAUUUGGUUGGCAUUUUGCAAGCAUUGGAUGGUGUGGCAGUGACAUGUGUGACAUAUGAAGAUACGGUUCUUUUUUUGCUAGAACUUGGAAUUUGAUUUCCAGAUAUGAGUGACGUGUGCUGAUAUGACUUGGGUGGGUGAGGUCUUUGAUAUUUAUAUUUCAUUUAAUCUUCAUGCAAACACCUUGUACAAAUGCAUGCACAAGCUAUUGAAGACUGCCAUUUUUUUUAACAUAUAAGGAAACAGAAUCUCAGAGGUUAAGCACUAAGAAUUCAGAAUGUAAAUAAACAAUAAACAGAGUUCUUAACCUGCAUACCUGGUGUCUGUUUUUUUUUUUUUUAACUUUAGAAACGUAUUAUUUGGGGGCUGAGGUGGUAUCUCAGUAUUUAAAGUGCAGCCAUACAAGUGUGGGCACUGGUGAUGUUCAGGUGGAGUUCAGGUGAUGGGUGACCUUGCCUAAAUGAGUGAAGUGGAAGAGAAGUUGAAGAAGUUUCCUGGCCUCAGCCUCAGGCCUCCAGACAUGUGCCUGUAUACAUGCAGACAUAUAAACCUACUGCCUCCACACAGAUGGGAUAAGAGUGUUGUUAUUGUGUGUGUGCAUGUGCCUAUAUGUGUAUGCAUGAAGGGCGGGGGCGCACAUGCCAAGAUGUGCAUGUGAAGGUCAGAAGACAACUUUGUAGAGUUGCUUCUUCCCAUCCACCUUUACCUGGGGUCUGGAGAUCAAAUCUGGUUGCCCGACUUGUAUAGCAAGGUUCUUUACCUGUUGAGCCAUUUUGCAGUCUCCUCCUCCCCCUCUUCCUCUCUCUCCUACUUCUCUUUCUCCAUCUCCUCCUCUCUUCUUUUUAAAAUUGGCCUGUAUUCAUUGUUCAUGUAUCCAUAAACAAGUUCCUCUCAAAUAUCUAUUUUCACCAUCUGUAUCUCCCUCCUGUUACUCCCCUCAGGUCUCUUUUACCCUCCUAAUAGCCUCCCUUCUCAACGCCCCCCAUCUCUUAUUUGUGUUGUCAACUUGACAGAUUCUAGAAACCCCUACGAGCUAGGUCUCUGGAUACGCUGGUGGGGGAAACCCCACCUUGAUCGUGAGAAGGGCUAUCUCUAUCCUGGGUGGGGACCCUCAUUAGAUGGAGAUGCAAGCUGAGCCCUAGAGCGGAACUCACUGCUCUCUCCUUUGGACAGUGGCCAGCUGCUUCUAGCUCCUGCUGCCAUGACCUUCCCACCAUGAUGCACUCUGCCUUCAACUGUGAGCUAAAAUAAACCUCUUUUCCCUUCAGAGCAAUGGGAAAAGAAGCUAAGUCCUCUGUCCUCGGCCACUGAUCUACAGGUUUGGUUUGUAAUAGUGUCAUAGUAUUUUUGUUACAGUAGUUUUUCAGCAAACCUUUAAAUCUGGUGUUGUACUACCUUGCUGCUUGUAGUUUUUGGUGGUGUUGUUUGUUUGUUUGUUUGUUUGUUUGUUUGUUUUUUGCUCAGGACUGUUGGCUGUCAUGAUCCUUUGUACUUCAGUACAUUUUCAUCUAAUUCUGUGAAAAAUAUCACUGGCAUUUUAAUGGAAACUGCUGAACCUGAAGAUCCAUUUUGAUAAUAGAGCUAUUUUUGUGUUAUCAAUUCUACUAAUCCAUUAGUAACGGCUAUCUUUCCAUCUCAUUCUUCAAUUUCUUAAGUGCUUACAUUUUUCUCACUGUAGUUUCUUGGCUGGGAUUAUUCCUAGGUUAUUUAUUUAUUUAUAAAGCACCGUGAAUCGGGUUCCUUUCUCGAUUUCUCAGCAGUAUGUGGGUUGCUGACAUAUAGAAAAGCUACCGGUUUUUGUGUCCCGUUCAUUUUCUGGAAGAGUUCAUCAGUUCUAAAAAUUCCUGGUAAAGCUUUGGGUCUCUUAUUGUGGAAAGUUAUUGUCUACAAAUAGGGAUGAUUUCUCUCUGCCUUUCCAUUCACAUGCCUUUUACUUCUUUCCCUGUUUAUUUUAUUUAUUUAGUUUUAUUCCUGUAGCUCAAACUUCAAGGACUGUAUUGAGGAAACACAUGAAAAGAGUGGACAGCAUUGCCUCAUUCCUGAUUUUACUGCAAGUGCUGUGGCUUGUUUAACUCUGAUUAGGGUAAUGUCAGUUAUAGAGUUUUUUCUUUCAAUACAUAACAUUUGUUAUGUUACUGGAUAUUUAUUUCACUGCUAGAUUUUUAAAGUUUAUUUAUUUAUUCUAUGAGUAUACUGUCAUCACUGUCUUCAGACACACCAGAAGAGGGCAUUGGAUCCCAUUACAGAUGGUUGUAAGCCACCAUGUGGUUGCUGGGAAUUGAACUCAGGUCCUCUGGAAGAGCAGUCAGUGCUCUUAACCACUGAGCCAUCUCUCCAGCCCCUCAUUGCUAGUUUCCUAAGGCUUUUGUUGUCAAGAGAAAUUAUCCAGGGACUUUAUCAAAGGCCUUUUCUGGCUCUGCUAAGGUGUGAUUUCUGUCCCCAACCUAUUGAUGUUAUGCAGGUGCAUGUGUUAAACUAUCCUUGUAUGGAUGAAGUUCAUUGAUCAUGAUGAAUGAUGUUUUUGAUGUGUAGUUGAAUUUAAUUUAUAAAUACUGUCUCAAAAGUUUGUGCAACUAUGUUUAUUGGAGAGAUUUACCUAUAAUUUCCUUUUUUUUCGGUGGCCUUUUCCAGUUUAGAUAUGUGUAUAAAACUACAAUGAAAAAUGAAUUUGGCCAUAUUAUUUCCUUAACUUUAUGGGAUAGUUUGAGAAGCAUUGGUAGACUUUCACUGGGAUCUUUCUGAGCUUAAGGAUUUUAGUUAAGAGACUUUUACUAGUUCUUUAGUCUUUGUGCUGGUUCUUUUUUGCCAGUUAAUACAAACCAAAGUCACCUGCAAAGUUUACUGCAUGCGUGUCUGGUACCUAUGAAGGCCAGAAGAGAAGCCUAAAUCCUCUGGUCCUGGAGUUAAGCUGCAAUGUGGCUCCUGGGAACUAAAUUUGGUUCUUGUGCAAGAGCAGUGGAACCACUGCUAUAGAGAAGUGAAAUAUCCCUUAUUUCAAGUUUUCUUAAGUUUUUUUAAGUGUUACUUCAGUUGAUUGAUGACCGUCUUAGUCACAGCUCUAUUGCUGUGAAGAGACAACAUGAACAAAGUAACUCAUAAAAGAAAGCGUUUAACUGGGGAUUUGCUUAUGGGUUCAGAGGUUCAGUCCAUUAUCAUCAUGGCAGAAAGCAUGGCAGCAGGUGUGGCAGGCGUGGUUUUGGAGUAAGAGCUGAGAACUACAUCCUAAUCCACAGCAGAGAGAAAGUGGGGAGAGGGAGGGGGAGAGGGAGAGGGAAGGGGGCAGAGGGAAAGAGAGUGGAGCAGAGGGAGAGAGAGAGAGACUGGGCCUAGCAUGGGCUUUUGAAACCUAAAACCACAUUCCAGUGACAUACUUUUUCCAACAAAGCCACAUCUUCUCAUCUUGUCAAAUUGUGUCAUUCCCUGUUGACUAAACAUUCAAAUAUAUGAGCCAAUCGGGGGUGGGGGGUGUCAUCCUUGUUCAAACCACCACAAUGACUGAGUAGGAUUUUUGAAAUAUAACAUUAGUGUGUAGUGAUCUCCCAUUGGCCAAGGAAAUACAAUGUCCACUUUCACUAUUAGUGUAAGAGAGCAUUUUUGACUAAUAGCAGUCCAAACCUUAAUAAGUAGGAGUACACAUUUAAGUCCAAUGUAAAAAGUAGAAUUUUUUCCAGAAAUAAUCUUCUCCAAGGGUAAGCAUAUCAGUUAGUUACCUAAUAUCAAACUGUCAACUCUGAAAACAUAUAUACAAGUAACGUCUUAUAGACUCAGCAGACCGUAUUAUACACAUGCAAAUGGGCAUGCUCACAUACACACACAUACACAUACACACACACACACACACACACACACACACACACACACACACACACACACGAGAGUAACAACAAUUAAUGUAAAAGGUGCCAUGACUUUGAAAGAGACCAAGGAAGAUAUUUAGGAGGGUUUGAAGCCAGGAAAAGAAAGAGAGAAAUGUUGUAAUUAUAAUAUCAGAAAAUAAAUGAAGUGAUAUAAAAUGUUCCUUUACAAAAAUCUUUAAAUCAUACAGAAAUCAAUGGAGGUCUUUAGGCCAGCUAAUGAUUGUUUUAGAUAUUUCUAAUAGUAAUCCUGUGUUUUUCCAUAUAAGAGAUAGUGUCAGUUAUAUUCAUCUGCCAACUCACAGUGAUAUGGAGCCCUUGAAAGCAGGUUGGGGAGAUGGCUCAGUGGCUGAAGUGCUUGCCCAACAAGCAGAAAGACAUGAGGACACAGAUCUCCAGCACUGGUGUAAAGGCCAGGUGGGCAAUAGCCCCCUGUAAUCCUAGUACAGAGGAGGCUGAGACAAGGAAUCCCUGCCCACCUCUCCCUCCCCAGUAAGAGAAAUUCUUCCUUCUAGGUCUGUAGGUAAACCUGCCUUUUUCUCCAGACUGUGAUGCCAACUUUAUUUCUAAAGCUGUUUGUUACAGAAGCAUCCCUGGAAGGAAAAUUUAGAUAAAGAAAUGGCCAUUGUUUGUGCUGGUGAAUUUUUGUCUGUUUGACAAAAGCUAGACUCAUCUGGGAAGAUAAACCUCAACUGGGGACAUGCCUUCACGGGAUUGCCUGACGAAAGUCUGUGGAGCAUUUUCUUGAUUGACAGUUGAUGUGGGAGGGCUCAGCCUACUGGUUGCCCCCUGGGCAGAUGACCUUGGGUGGAAUUUGAAAGCAAUCUGAGCAGGCCAUGGAAUUAAACUGAUAAGCAGUGUUCCUUCACUCCUCUGCCUCAGUUCCUGCCCUGACUUCCUGUUCUAGCUUCUCUCAGUGAUGGACUAUAAGCUAAACUUUCUACCUCCAAGCUACAUUUGGUCAUGGGUUUUUUGGUUUUUUUGUUUUGUUUGUUUUAUUAUUUUUUUUCUCAGCAAUAAAAGGCAAACUAGAACAUCAUUUCAUUCUGACUGUGUGGAGAAAUUUAAGAGACUCAUGAAGAACUGCCUCGCCCAACCACUAACCCUAAUUUAGAAUUAUUUGUUUGCUCUUGUAUCUUAUGUUCUAUAUUAAAAUACCUAGAUACAGUGUCCUGCAGUCCUUGGUAACUUCGGUUUCCCUUGCAACAAUAUAAUGUUGUUUCAUACUUUGUAAGUGUUCAGUAAAUAAUUUAUUAAAUUAAUGAAAUGCUUUCUAAUUUUCAUAGUAAUUCAUAUGUAAUUCAAUUCUUAGGAUCUGAAAUCCUAAAUAUAUAUAUACAAAAACAUGUAAAUUAUUUGCACAUUUUCCCUUCUGUUGGAUCUAUGAAGUUAAUACUGUGGUAUAAACUAGACUUUUAUGCUCUAAAGUGUGGUAUUUGGCACAUGAUUCUGAAGCUAACAUGCUUCUUGUUCGAUUCAGGAAAUAUAAGACUGCAGGAGUCAGCAGGCACAUGUGCUGGUAUAAACUGUUCCGUGGUAUUGCCCUGGGAGUUAACAAUAGAUUUUCUUGCUUGCAACAGGAAUAACGAAAGAGCAGUUGAGCACAAAGUGCUUUAACUUCCUGUGAUCAUUAACAUUUUAAAAGGAAGUAUAAAAAAAUCAUUAUUGAGUCAAGAAAUAACGAGUAAAAAAAAAAAAACCCCAAAAGGAGCGGUGUAUGCAUAGCAUGACAUUUGUGAAGCGUAAGUAAAAUAGAGCAGCAGUUCUUAAGAGAGUAGUGCAGCGGUGGGGAGAUGAAAUGGAGGAGCCUGAGCUCUGCCACAGGCAGUUGUUUUCCAUAGUGCUUAGCAAAUGGAAGGUUCUACUUCAAUUAACAAUUGCAGGCUUCCUCCUCUUCCCCCCUCCCCCGCUGUGCUGUGUAAACAGGAGCAGGUUACCUCUCUUCCCUGGUCCUGGGUUUUUUUCAUCAGUCAGCUGAACGCUUCAAACACAGGCCUCAGGAUGGGGUCAGUGCAGACUGGCGAUGUGUAGAAUCUCACCCUUGGCACAGUUCCUCUUCUUGGAUUGAUUAGUGGUGCCUGGCCAUGCUACACCUGAGUUCUAGUGGGAAGAAAAGAAGGGAAGCUGAUCCCUCCUGCCGUUCCCGCCAUGCCUGGCCUCAUUACCUGCCAUCCCUGCCUGGUACACCCCACCCGGGACCUGUGCACAGUCAUCCUCUCCUGGAAUUCCUUUCCACCACCACAGCCGAUCUUCCUGUGUACAGCCUUGACGUUCAGCAAAGCCAAAUGAAGCGAUCCUGUGACAUUCCCUUGCCAGCCUGUUACCAAGUCUCACACUGAUAGGCAUCAGAGAAGCACUGAUGGUCUGACUGACAAUUCGCAACUUCACACCUGCUGCCGUGGAUGCAGCACACACUGGGAGUGCUGUGGGAAGACCAGGUUCGGACGGAAGCAGCUCUUGGAAGGAGCUAUGACUCCGAUGGGCGGGGUGGGUUUAUUUUUUAAAGGUAAUAGCUUCGUAAUAAUGGACAUUCAUUAAAAAUAGGAUUCUUCUUGCAUUCAAAGUGUAGAUAUCAGUUAAUAGUGACAGUGGCCAAACAUCACAUCCUUUUUAGAUUAAAAAAGAAAAAAAAAUGAGAGACAGUGUUGUAUCCCUCUUUCGAAUGAUUUGAAUCAGUGAUAGAGAAAUUGUUUCUGGGUGAGCGUGAGGACUGUUUUGUUUUCUUUUCCAUUGUUAAACUCAUGUCUCCCUGUAUUCAUUAUCCUGAAUGGAGAAUGGUGAACUCUGGUUUGUAUAUGUUAUUUCUUUAUUUGAACGGAUUCGUUUGCACUCAAUGUAAAUAAUGUGAAGAGAGAAAGAUAUUUAUGAAGUAAGCAUACCGGCUAGCAUUUGGCAUCAUUUACGCCAUGCCUGCUGUUGUGCAAAGCCCUUUCUAGGUAUUUUAUUCAAAUGGGUGCGGAAAAAAAUGAUUUCUUUUUUGUUUUAAUAUCUUUUUAAUGCUUUCAAAAUCAUAAGUUUCAUGAGGUUUAGUUGCAAUGAAAUUUUCAUUCAUGCUUGUUUUUCUCAUGUGUACACAUAAUGUCAGCUUGAUUUGAAUAGCGCGUUCAAAGGAUAAUAAAGCUGAUGAAAUUUUAAAACGUUAAGAUUGAGUAUUGAGUUAACACAGAUGUCUUAUAAAAGGAGGAAAAGCAGGCUGAUCAUGUCACUCUGAGGAAUAGUUCCUGGGAUCUGCAGAUACGCUUCAAUUCUGUUUAUCAUCUUUGUAAAAACUGACUCAGAAGGAAUUGUCCACACUGUGGGAUGAUCCAGCUGCUUGUUGAAUCAAUUGCUUUUAAUUAGCCCAUCUGAUGUUGAUUGAAUUCUGGGCUUGCGUGCCUGGAUAUCCCUGAAAAAAUUGAAUUAUCAGUAUUCUUCUCAUUUAGAAAUAUUUGAAUCUAAAGUGAUGAGAGAUUUUUAUACUAAAUUAUUCUCAUUAUGUUGUGUUCAUAAUCCAUCCAUGCCAUGUCCUCAGAUCCUGACACAGUCUGGGGAAAUCAGCCUCCUGUGAGAUUCAGGAAUAGGCGGUAAUCAUGCAGUGACCAAGAAAGCAGCCAGCAUCUACCCUUCGGUAUCAUCUGCGGAUGGGAGAGGCAAAAAAGAGAACGUCUAACCAUCGAAUGGACAGAUGCCUCUGUUUUUCUUUGAAUGGAAAGGCCCACUGCUUUCUCAGAUAAUCAGUUUAUUUUUGAGAGAGAGGGUCAAAAGUGAAGAAUGUGGUAACGUGUGUGGGUUCAAGUCCUGAUUUUACCAUUUACCUGCCUUCUCACCUUGGGCUCAUCACUGAAGUUCUAGUGUUUUCAGUUCCUGCGUGUUUAAAUGAGGUCAUAGAGUAACCAGAAGUUAUUUAUUCUUAGAAAUUACAAAAAUUGCAUUAUUUAUGCACUCACUCCAUGUGUAGGUGGGGGUAUUCAGGGCACAAUACGUGCGUAGAGGUCUGAGGCAACGUGUGAAACAGUGACCUCCCAUCUUGUACAUCCUGGGGUUUGGACUCGGGUUGUCAUGCUUGGCAGUGUUAGGGUCUGUAUUCGCUUAAGAAGGAUACCUCAGACUCAAAUAGUGUGCAACGGCAGAGAGCAUUUAUUCUAUAGAAAUUACCGGCAUGCGGGGAUCUCCAUCCAGCAAAAUGGAGACACCCAAUGGACUUACAAUUCCAGGGAGGGAUGUGUGUCCUUUCACCUUUAUUGGUUAGCUCGAUCUCUAGGGGUCUGACUGAUUUGAUCAUUAGUUAGGAUCUGGGGACUUCCCAGUGUGGUACUCAUUCUAGCUAUCUAGUUUUUGCUCUAGACCAGAUGACAAGGUGUCCUAAGAUUGGCUGCCCUUGGCUGCGGUUGGCUGACCACAGGUUCCUGUAUCCCAGUUUUCAUUUCUGGGAAACAGCAACUUGGGCCUACUAUCCUGAACUGUCAGUUUGAAGCUUGUCAUGAAGUCGGCCUGGCUCUGUUAACUCAGUCCUCUCAGCAGCAGAAGCCUUUACCUGCUGAACCCUAUUGCCGAACCAUCUUCCCAAUUAUCAAAAAAAGUUUAUUUCACUCAAUUAAGAAAGACAUCAAUAUGGAUGCUAUAUAUGCAAAUACAGAUAUACUUAUGUAUAACUUUUGAGAAGCUGGUUAAUUAUAAAUUAUUACAAAAUUCGAUCAAACCCUUUUUUUCAUUUUGUAGGUUGCCAUUUUUGUCCUUUUCCAAGCAGAAGCUUCUCUGUUUCAUGAGGCCCCAUAUAUUAUUUAUCUUAGUGCCUGUGCUAAUGGUGUUCUGUCGGAAAAUCUUUUCCUGAGGCAAUGACUUCAAGGCUAUUUUGUACUUUCUCCUCUAUCAGUAAACUGGCUACCUUUAUAUUUGACACAAGCUAGAAUCAACAUCUCAAUGGAGAAAAUACAUCUCUAUCAGAUAAGGCUGUAGGCAAGCCCGUAGGGCACUUUCUUAAUUAGUGAUUGAAGAAGCUCCAGCCCAUUAUGAGUGGUAUCAUUCUGGGGGUCCUUGUCCUGGCUUCUAUAAGAAAGCAGACUGAGCAAGCCAUGAGGAGUAAGGAGUAAGCAGUGCUCUCCCAGGGCCUCUGCGUCAGCUCCUGCUUCCAGUUCCCUGCCCUGUGUGAGUUCCUGUCCUGACUUUCUUUGAUGAUGAGUUGUAUAUGGAAGUGUAAGCCAAUUAAACUCUUUCCUCUGCAAGUGCCUUUAGUCCAGGUGUUUUAUCAUAGCGAUAGGAACCCUGACUAAGACAAUCUUGUUCGGUGUAUCUGGUGUUAUGCUGAGGUCCUUGAUCCAUUUCGAGUUGAGAUUUGAGCACAGGGAUGAGGAUGGAUCUUUUUGCAUUCUUUCACAUGCAGCCAUCCAUCUCAGCUAGCACCGUGUAUUGAAGAUACUGUCCCUCCACACCCCCCAAUGUGUAUUUCUGACCUCUUUAUCAAAAUUGAGGUGUCCAUAGGUAGAUAGAUUUAUAUAUGGGUCUUCUACUCAGUUCUAUUGAUCAGUGUGCCUGUUUUUGUGCCAAUUCCAUGUUGUGUUUUACUACUAUAGCUCUGUAGUGUUUUAUUACUAUAACUUUGUCGUGUUUUAUUACUAUAGCUCUGUAGCACAACAAUCAGGGAUGAUGGUACCUCCAGCAGUUUUUUAUAGUCAUGAUUAACUAUUCCGGGGUUUUUAUGUUUCCAAAAGAGGCUGGAAAUUGUCCUUUAAGGACCUAUUAAGAAUUGUGUGAUUGCAUUGAAUCUGUAGAUUGCUUUUGGAAGGAUGGCCAUUUUUAACUAUGUUAAUCUUCCAAAUUCCUGACCAUGGAAAGUCAUUCCCUAAUGUACUAUCUUUUGCUAUUUUUCCAGUGACUUGAAGUUUUUAUCAUACAAGUCUUUCACUUGCUUGGGCAGAGUUAUCCCAAGACAUUUUAUAUUAGUUAAGGCUACCGGGAAAGGUCUUCUUCCCCUGAUUUCAUUUUCAACCCAUUUGUCAUUUGUACAUAGUCAUUUGCUACUGAUUUCUGUGAGUUACUUCUCUAUCCAGCUACUUUGCUAAAAGUGUUUAUCAGCUGUAGGAGUUUCAUAGCAGAAUUUUUAGGAUCACUAAAAUUUUAGGUAGUAUAUGUACUACCAUAUCAUUAGCUAAUAAAGAUACUUCAGUUUUCUUAUUGCUCUAGCUAAGACUUCAAGUACUACAUUGAGUAGGUGUGGAGAGUGGACAACCUUGUCUUCUUUGUGAUUUUAGUAGAAUUGUUUUGAGUUGCCAUUUAGGUUAAUGUUGGCUAUGGGAUUGCUGUAACUGCCUUUAUUAUGUUAAGGUAGAGUCCUUGUAUCCCUAAUCUCUCCAGGACUUUUUUUCACAAAGAGGUAUUGAGUCCUCCAAUAGAGAGCUAAUAUGCAAAACAUAUAAAGAGCUUAAAAUAGAUGUGAAGAAAAUAAAUAGCCUAGUUUAAAAUGGGGGGGGCAGCGGCGAGGAUACAGAUCUGAACAGAAUUCUCAAUAAAGGAAACUCAAAUGGCCAAGAAACACUUGAAGAAGCAUCCUUAGUCAUCAGGGAAAUACACGUCAAAACUACUUUGAGAUUUCAGCUUAUAGCUGUCAGGAUGGCUGAGAACACAACAAGUGACAGCUCAUGCUGGUGAGGAUGUGGAGUAAAGGGAACACUCCUUCAUUGCUGGUAGGAGUGCAAACUUUUACAGUCACAAUAUACAAUCGAUAUAUUCAACAUAAAAUAUACAAUAUAGUAUACAUACAUAGGCUUACUGGUUGUGGUCCAGCUCAUCCAACAAUGGUUGUCUAAUAACAUAAGGUUGAAGGCUCUGGUAGUUGUUCAGUUUACGAAAAUGGAUGUCUCUCAUCUGGUACUUAGUAUAUGCCAGAAUCCUAAAGAAGAAGGCUCUAAUUCCAGUGAAGGAAUUGACUUGCUAGUGAGAUCAAGAGUAAACAAGCAAAGAAAGCAAGCCUCCUUUCUCCCUGUCCUUUAUAUAGGCUGCCAGCAGAAGGUGGGUGUGGCCUAGAUUACAGGGAGAUCUUCCUACCUCAAAAGGUUCAAGCAAAAAGUUGGUAUUCCCAUUUCAAGUGAUUUAGUUAAGAAAAAAAAAUACCUCUUACAGGUAUCCAGACUAUUGAGCUUUUAUAAUUCCAAAUAUGUCAAGUUGACAACUAAGACUAGCCAUGAGUCCUUCCCUUGUCAGCCUGACACACAAUCAUAUCUCCUUUUGUCACGCUUAAUUCUCAAGUGAAAAAAAAAAGAACAGGUCAUAAUUAUACCCAACCUGAUAAAACUAUUUCACAUACAAUCAUAAAUGCCUUAAACAUUUAACCAGGUCACUAUUGUGCUUAACAUGACAUAAUUAUCCCUCAUUCAACCACAAACAUAUUAUACAUUUAGAAUGCAUGGCAAUGCCCCUUGAGGGACAUUCUUUUACUAUCCUAAACUUAAAUAUGAUAACCCCUGAUAGUCUUGUAAUUGAUGUUAUACUACAUGAUAAAGAAGUCAAGGAGAGAAAACACAAAUAUCUGUAUAAACACAUUCUUAACAAAAUAUGACAAAACAGUCGUCAUUAUUAUUAUUAUUGUCAUUAUUAUUAUUAUUAUAAUCCUCUUUUCUGCAACUGACUAUGUGGUGUUAACUUGUAUUUAUAACUCUCUUCCUCUACUACACAUUCCGAGUUUCCUCCGCCGUCAGCAAGCACCUCAGUAGGUCUCGGCUCUUUUUAUGGAGGAGUGACACCUUCAUUCCCGAAGGGUCCGUGUCUUUUGUCAUCCUUUCUGGAUUAGGCUGUUGUGGUUUCACACUGACUUUAAUGACAGGACACGGUAGCAGCAAGAGAUGUGCUGAAGGAUCGCUUGCACUCCAGACAUAAUCUUGCUUCUAUUGUGGAGAAGUCAUCCAGCUUCGUUUUGGUAAUCUGGAUCAAUCACCCUGUCUAACACCUAUUCCUUUCUUGGUCUGUAGGGUUUAAGGACAUCAGAAGGCCAAAGUGGCUGGAGGGGAGGUGGAGUGUGAACUUCCAGUGCAAUCGAGUGUUGGUUGUGUCUCCUGGAAAUAGUGCUCUCCUCUCUAGGACCAAACAUCUAGGCCAGAGGACUUAAGGUCAUAGGAACAGGGAACAAACGUUUUCCUAGUGGGUUUGCUCGGGGUAAUAAUGAGUGGAACUAUUCUCCUUGAUUCCAUGGAUCCUAGCUAUGGGCUCGACUGCACCAUGUAUUAGAACCUGACUCAAAGCAUACACUGCCUUCGGGAGAACCGUGCCCCAGCCCUCCAGGCUGUAAAUGUGUCUUCACAAGGCCAUUCCAUCUUUAUAUCAGGCCAACUGCUUCAAGAUGGUCAAGAACAUGGUAAGACCAGGGGAUUUCUGGCUGGUCAGAAGCAAGUCGAAUACCGUGAUGGUGGAUAAGGCACUCCACAAAUGGCAGUUUUGGCAGGAAUAUGAUGUGCAGGCAAAUCUGUUACCAGAAGAAAUGUUUAUUCAGUAAGAACAAGUGUCUUCUCUACAGAGGAAGUGCUCCAAUGUGGUCAACCUGCCACCAGGCCACUGGCUGGUCAUCCCAGGGAAUGCUGUUCAGUGUUGGUCUCUGCUGUUGGCAGAUCCGUUCCUCAGCAGCAGCUAUAGCCAGAGAAGUUUCAGUGAGUAAAAGUCCAUUAAUAACCUCCAUGUCUGCCACCAUGGUCACUUUACUCAUGCGCACUUUGGCCAGUGGCAUGGAUGGCACUGUAAUGAGAGUAGAAACCAUAUGCAUUUGGGCAACUUCUUCAAAUAAUUUGCUUUAGUGCCACUGGGACCUGCUCAGACCUACUGACAUAUACACCCUUUCCAUUUGAUAAUGGAUUACUGCUGUACAUGUCCUACUUGGUGAGUCAGAUAACAUACAGCUCAUGGUGGGGCGGCUCAGACCAAAUGGUCACUUGGUGUCCCAUGGUCAAACAUUCAGUUUCCACUAGGAAUCCAUAAAUAGGCUGAAAGCUGUCUCUCAAAGGGAAAAUAGUUGUUUGCAGAUUAUGGUAGAGCCUUGCUCAAAAAUACAAAAGGUUUCUCCGUGAUUUACUUGCAGGGGCUAUACAGCAUCCCUAUCUGCCAUGAUAUUUCAAGUACCAUCAGGUCUGAUGGGCCAUAUGGUUCGAGUGGCCGAGCAGCUUUACAACAACCUGUGCUUGUUCAAGAGCCUUUUCCUAUUCCAGGCCUUACAUAAAGCUAGCAGUUUUCUGAGUCCCUUGAUAUAUGAGCUGGAGUAACAUACCCAAGAGAGGAAUGUGUUGUCUCCAGAAUCCACAUAGGCUUGCUAAAGGGUGUGUUUCUUUCUUGGUGAUGGGAGUGGCCAGGUUCAAUAAUUUAGCCUUCUCUUUAGAACAGUGCUUCUCACCCUACAUAGGACUAUGACAUGUUGUUGUGACCACCAACCACAAAGUAUUUUCAUGGCUACUUCAUAACUCUAAUUUUGCUACUGUUACUGACUUUUAAUAUGAAUGUCUGAUAUGCCAACUCCAUGAAAGAGUCAUUCAGCCCCAACAGAGUGGUCUGGACCCAUGGUUGAGAAUGGCUGCCUCAGAAGGACUAUCUCUGAAUUUCACUGAGGGAGCCCUGGAAGUUUGGUUGGAUUUAUUUCCCAUCCUCUGGUGCACAUAUGUGUUACCGAUAAGUCCAAAUUAGUUGCUACUACUUGCUUGCUUUCUUUAGUCAGUAUAAUGUCAUCAAUAGAGUGGACCAAUGUGAUAUUUUUGUGGAAGAGACAAUCAAGAUCCCACCUAACUAAGUUAUGACACAGUGCUGGAGAAUAAUAUGUCCUUGAGGUAAAACUGUAAGUGUCCUGCUGGCCUUGCCAACUGAAAGCAAACUACUGCUGGUGGUCUUUGUAAACAGGUACUGAGUAAAAGGCAUUGCUAGAUCAGUAGCUAUAUACCAUGUGCUAGGAGAUGUGUUAAUCUGCUCCAAGUAAGGACACCACAUCUGAGACCACAGCUACAAUUGGACUCACUACUUGAUUGAUUUGAUGGUCAACUGUAAUUCUCCAUUCUCUCUUUGUCUUUUACUAGCCAAAUAGGAGAGUUAAAGGGGGAUGUGGAACACUACUACCCUGCAUCUUUUCAGAUCCUUGAGAGUGGCAUUACUUUCUACAGUUCUUCUAGGAAAGUGAUCCUGGUUUUGAUUCAUUAUUUUCCUUGGUGGAGCAAGUCUUAAAGCUUCCGUUUAACUGUUCUCACCAUAAUAGCCCUCACUCCACUGCACAGGUCAUGGAACCAAUGCGGAAAUUCUGCCAAAUUCUAAAUAUAUCUCCUCCAAUUGUACAUUUGAGGACUGGGGAAAUAACCACAGGGUAAGUUUAGGGACAUAAUGGACUUAUGAUGAGAUACCAGCCAAAAAUGUAUCAAUCACCUGACACCUUAAACCCCUACUUUAAAUGGAGCACUGCAGUAUGUUUCUUGGAAUCUUCCCACAAUCAGCAUAUAUUAAAAAUGAGUACCCAACAAACUCUGGAAAGUCUAGCUAUUUCCUUUCCCCCAGUGUAUAGUUAUCCUUGUAAAAAGCCUUAGUUCCCUCUAGGGAAAAACUGGAGAAAGACCAACAUUAAAACUUUUGGGUAUUUUCUCAAGGCCCUUCCUCAGUAGAACCUGGACUUUCCUUUAUUUCAGGGGGUCCGUGUCUGCAAACUGCCUUAAAUCUGAAAAUUGUUUCACAGAUCAAGAUCCCGUUUUGACAUGUUCUAGUAGAGCCUUGUUUUCUUUGUUUGAGAAAUUUUCUGCUUAUAUAGAUCAAACAAAUUUAGUUUCUAGUUCUUGCCUGAAAAUAGCAUAAUUGAUUAGCCAGUAACAAAGGUCUGUGGAAGUCAUAUGGUUUACCAUAAAAAUCACUGCUUGUGCUAACUAACCAUCAUGGAUUAGGACAUUGUGGACAUUGCUUAUGCUGGCCAUUACAAAUGCUAUAAUCUGUGGAAGUUAGGUCCUGGUUGUUCCUCCCAACCCCAUGCUCCCAGAAAUAAGACAGACUCAAAAUAUACUUACAAAUACUUUGGCCAUAUAGCUAGGCUCUUUUUUGACUAGACAUAACAUAUCCCAUUUAUUCUAGCCUACAUUCUGCCAUGUGACUGGCUACUUAUGCUCCAGUACCGUGUGUCCAUCUCCUUACAUCUUUCAGGUGAAUCUCUACAGCAAUCACCUUGUCUUUGGUGAUUCAGGGCUGCCACCUGGACGCUGCUACAUCAGGGCCGAAUUAAAUCCAUUGUAUUUAAUUCAUCCAACUGAGCAUCAACACCUCCAACCCUAAUGUCUGACAUCAGGCAAAAGUGACACCAAAGCCCUUUAAAUGUGUUUGUGUCUCCUCACUGUUUGUGUCUUAUAGGAUUAAUAGAGGUGUGUCUUCUGGGCUUUCCCUUUGUGAGCAGUUAGGUUUCACAUAGCAUACCCACUCUAGCAUUGCAAUUUUCCUGAGCCUUAAAAUCCUUUCAUCAACAUUAAGCCAAGAGAUAUCAGACAUCUCCAACUCCAUUUCAGUAUGUCAUCUUUUGAUGAAUGCUUCAUUUAAACAAACUUUUGACAGUUUUAAAAAAUUGUAAAAGCUCCCACAUUAUACCUAGAAUCUCCACUCAGAGGACUUAGAUCAAUACAAUCAGCCUAAUCCAGUUUUAUGUUUCGUCCACCGUUUUCUCACACCCUUAAAAUCCAUUCCCACACAAAUUUCCCAGACUUUCUCUUGAAUGAAUUAGAAAACUCAUUAAGCACCUCCUCCUGGACUACACUUUCACCCUCCCCUCUGGAAGCCCUCCUUUCCUUGAGUCUGUUAAUAAGUCUAGAGGCAACUAUUGGUGGGUGAGGAGGACAUUAGUGUUGUCUUACCUGGCAUCUCCUUCAGAGAAAGUUACUGCAGGUAGCAGACAAUGAAGAAUUAAUUCCUCAGUCAAGGGGGGAAAAGUCAAUUUUCCAGGCGUUAGGUGUUAAUAUAUCUAUGGCUAAGGGUGUCAAGACUACUUUCUUAGGUGAAAUUGACCCUUGUGAAUCUGAGGGUUCAAAGUCUAAUAGGACCAUCUCACAUAGCCCCAUCCCAAGUUACAAGAUCCCAUUCAUUACCAAUUAACACUCUUACUUAACUGAUGACACCCUUGGCUGCUGGAGAUAAGAUUCCUUCCCAGGGCACACUUAGAAACCUUUAGACUGCCUAUGUGCAGCUGGAACCUGUCGGUUUGAUCACCGAGUUCAUCGCUAUCCUUGCCCUGUCCUGAGAUGCGAGAAGCUGGUUCAUUUUAUGGCAGAGCCUAUUCUUUUCCUUUGUCGGUUUAUCCAGAGAUGCUAGGAGCACCCUCAGUUUUCUUACCUUUUCACCAGUCGUCAAAACUGUUCUCUACACAAUCACCAGAUCCGUUGCCACUCGGAACAGGCGAAUCAGGAAAACCAAAUUCAUUUUUUCCCCUUUAAUUUUGUAAAAUACUUCACACCAUAUUCUCCAAGUUUUAGGAAAGGUUCAGCAACUAUAAAUAUUAGCAGAUUAGAAAGCCUAUUUUAAUAUUUAAAAAUAUUCUUAUGUAUCUAAAAUUCAUCUUUAUACUUUUGUUACUCUAGAACCACAUUUUGUACCAAUACCUGUAUCAGUUAGGGUUUUCUAGAGGAACAGAGCUCUCUCUCUCUCUCUGUGUGUGUGUGUGUGUGUGUGUGUGUGAGAGAGAGAGAGAGAGAGAGAGAGAGAGAGAGAUUUAUUGGAAUGACUUACAGGCUGUGGUUCAGGUAGUUCAACAAUGGCUUUCUACUAAGAAGAGAUUCAUGAAACCAGUAUCUCAGUCCAUGAGGCUAUAUGUCUUCGGUAUAUGUCAGAAUCCAAAAGAAGCAGGCUCUAAUGAAGGUGAAGAAUGGACUUGCCAGUGAGUGCAAGAGCAAGCAAGCCAUGUCUUUUAUAUAGGCUACCAGGAGAAGGUGGCUAUGGCCCAGAUUAAAAGUGAAUCUUCCUACCUCAAAAGAUCCAGGUUAGAAGUCUUCCCACUUCAAAUGUUUUAUUUAGAAAAGUCUGUCACAAGUGUACCCAGUGUUUUAGUUAAUUUGAGAUGAAGUCAAGGUGAAAACCAAGUUUAGCCAUCAAAGUGGUUGAAUUUAACAAAAAAGAAAAGAAGAGGUCUAUAAACAUUUUAGGUGAAAUUUUUGAAGAAUCUUUUGCUUCCAUGGGAUUUGUUUAUUUUUGUGGUGAUGGACAUAGGACACAAAGCCUUACUCAAGUUAGGCUAAUAAUAUAUGUAAGACUGAACUAGCCUCUCAAUCUAGUCUGGCCUGCUUCACCCUCUCUAGUGUUGGGAUUACAGGUGAUAUGUGUCGAUUUGUAUUGGGCUGUUAGAGAGUAGAAUAAUAAGUUUUAAUCGACCUCAAACCAUACUGUUACCUUUCAAAAAUCCUUUAAAAAGUUCUGUAUAAAAAGUGCAAUAGGUUUUUGUGGGUGGCAUUGUAAUUUGUAGGGCAAUGCUUUGAUUUAGUGUGUAUUUUCCCCUGGUCCUUUGUUAUUUGCAUUAUAGAUCUCAUACCUACAUGCUAACUAUACUCCCAUACUCGUGUGACACGGGUGUGAUCUCAGUCUUCAGAAAGGCUCCACGAAGCCGUUGCUGGUAUCAGAUUGGACAAACAAGAGAUUCCUUGCCAUUCUUCCAAGAACGCUUAAUUGCUUCAAGAUUCUACGUUUUGAAUUUCAAAGUUAUAUUUUAAGUGGUUUGUGUGAAAGCAUCUCUGAGGCAAGCACUUGAAGUUCCUCUUCAGGAGGAAAAGAGGAAAACAAACCAGUGAAUAUUAGCGCACAGGAGUGGGGGUGGGGGUGGAGGUGGAGGUAGGGUGAAGUAUCUGCCUAAGCUCUGACUCCUGUCCUAUACAAGGUCAUGGGAUGCUAACGCUUCCAAAAUAUAGCUGUAAUGAGUGCUCAUCUUUUUUAAAAAUACCUUUUAUUUCCUCAGAAGUAUUUUUUUCAGUCCCUCUGAAUCUAGGUAUACACUGAACUUGUUGAAAUUUGGACAAGAUUUGUAGGAGGGCUCAGAAUUCAGAGUUAGCUGUCCUCUCUAGAGAGGGAAACCUACUAUCACUAGACAUCUGAAGGGCUAAUAAGCAGAAGUGAUUGAGAAUUUGCUGGCACUGUACAGGAGAGAGGAGAAAGCUAGCAAAUAUGAUUUUGUACCCCUGUAUAGGAAAGAGUUUUACUAACUCUUCGCCAGCAAGGUCAAUAGGUAUCUCAAAAGUUCAAAUAUCCAGUCAUGCAAGAAGUGAUGAUGGGGUGGGGAAAAGACGGUUCCUGCACUUCUCAAACAUUCACAUGUCUGAGGUCUGUCUGGAGUUGUCGCUAAAACGUAACUUCCCAUUCAGUGAGUGUGGGGUGGUACCCAAGAUUCUUCAUACUUAAAAGGUUCUUUGGUGAAGUCAAUGCCAGUAGUUCAGAGAUAACAUGGGAAUAACAGCCCAGCUGUCUACUACAUUUGAAAAAAAUCUAACUUUAUUAUUUAUUUUAUGUAAUCAGGUGUUUUACCUUUACAUAUGUCCAUGUAUUAUUUGGAUGCUGUGCCCAGUGAGACCAGUCCCUGGGAUUGGAGGGUGAAGUAUUUGCCUAAGUUCUGACCUCUGUCUUAUACAAAGUCAUAGGAUGAUAAUGCUUUCAAAAUACAGCUGGAUGGUGGUGAGCCACUAUGUAGAUGCUAGAACUGAAUCUGGGUCUUCUGGAAGAGCAACCAAUGCUCUUAACUUCUGAGCCAUCUUCCUCUCCAUCCCUUAGUUCUUAGAUACUAAUUGUGAUUGAUGAUGCAAUUAGAAGCUGGGGCAGGAGGAUCAAACCCAAUCUAGAUCACAGAGUGGGAGCUUCUCAAUGAGAAACAAAUACCCAACAGGCGACACUCCAAAGAAUGUAAGAAGCACACUUGGAGAGAAGUUGGCUUAGUUGUGAUUCCUAAACACAGAGCCCCUCAAAGCUUCUUUUGUGUUAUAGGAUGCCCAUGAAUUCCUGUUUUAUAUUCUUCAGUACAGACUCUUCCAUUGGGUUUGCUCAUACACACCCCAAUUUGCCUUGGGAUAGCUGUCUACAUGCAGAAAAUCCAGGUGCCCGCACAAAACGUUGAAAAGAAGGAUCCGAUUCCAUCCGGAGACAGGCUAGAAGGUCUCUGCACAGGGAGGUGUUCUAAAGAUGAGGUGACAGAAGCAAGAUAGGCCAAGGUAUGAAAGAAACUGACCCAGCAGGACAUUGACCUCUAGAGGGCAUAACAGCUCUCAAGGAUAAGUACUUUCCUUCAUGGUUAUCCAUCUCUAUGGUAGGUAGUAUGUUUUGGCUUUCGCAUUUAUGUUAAUGUUAGCCAGGACCAGCUUGGUAUGCAUGGGUUUUUGUUGUUGUUGUUGUUUUCUUUCUUUCUUUUUUUUUUUUUUUUUGUUUUUGCUUUUCAUCCUGUUACCAUCUACUCCAGAAGAAGCACUUCUGAAGGGAAAGAACCUUACAGAGUUCAGGAAAAGCCACGAUGGAACUUGUGAUGCAGGCUCCCUAUCAGCACUAAUUUAAAAAACACCUCUUCCAGAACAAAGCUUCAAAGCACGCCUAGUCCUUCGAAUACGCAAGCAACAUAUUUGAAAGGUGUUCCGAAAACGAGCAUAAGAUGGGCAAUGGUGGUGCACACCUUUAAUCCCAGCACUCUGGAGACAGAGGCAGGCAGAUCUCUGUGAGUUUGAGACCGGCCGAUCAACAGCGCGAGUUCCAGGCCAGGCAUUCUAGAGGAUGAUGUUGCACUGGGUCCCUUUCUUUCUUGCCUUGGCCCUUCCUGUUUCUGUCACUUUCUAGUCCCUGAUCAGUUGAGAAUGGGAGCCCACUGCUCUCUUGCCAUCAUUGAAAGCUCAUUUUCAGAAUCCAGCAGGGUUGGCUGCCAUCUGAAGACAGGCUGGAAGGGCUCCGCUAUUCCCCUGAGACACAGUCUCACCACAGACUUCCUGUCCUUCUGGCUCUGCCCCUGAGCCUUAGGUAGGGGAGUUGUGUUAUUGGACAGUGUGACAGCCAGGGUUGGACACCACAUAAACACUUGUUUUCUGCAUUUUUGGGCUGUGAUUUUCAUAAUGAUCUUAAUAUGAUCUUUCUUUAUUCUGUGUAGUUGAGGUGAGAGGAAAUUGGUAUUUCCAUGAUGGUCUAUGAACAUAUCUCUGGCCAAAUAAUCCUACUGUUUUGGUUUCCCUGUGGUGACUGAGAGCAUUACUCUACUGUUUGGAGAAAACUUAAAAUACUUAUAAAUGUAUUACAGACAAAAAUGUUUCCCACUGAAUCCCUCUACUCUUUCAGGGGUGACUCUCCCCAAAUGGUUUGGGUUACUACAUUUGUGUGAUAAAAGAACUAAAUGGUCCAGAGCAGCUGUGACAGGGACCUUGCCUUCCCUGUAGAGGGCAAAGAUACAGUCGCAAUUAAGUGAGUCAUUACCUGAAGCUUGCUACACCUUCUGUGCAUGAGCUAUAAUCAAUAUGCAGUAAACAAAAACUACUAAACUAUAAAACUAUAAGCUACUAUAUCAAAUACUUAAUUGAGCAAAAUGUAUAAUCUUUGUUGAUCCAGAACUUAGUUCAGAUGUUGGUAACAUCUCAUGACUGUGGUAAAGAUUGUGAACUAAUUAUAUAGGAAACGGUAUACAGAAGAUGCAGAAGCCCAGACUAGAUCUGCUGUAGUUAUUAUCUAAAGUGGCUUUUUAAAAGUGGCUUCCUGAAACAUCCUGUUUCUGUUCAUUUCACUUUCUAUCAUAAAGGCAAGAUAUGAAUGUAUCCCCCACCCCAACAAUUUAGUUACUUUGCCCAUAAGAUUCUGUAGGUCAAUAGUAAGUACGUCUUGCCCACAUAGAGUGCUAACAGCAAAGCUGCAGAUUACCUGGUAAAAAGUCAUCAUAUUUCAACAUCUUUGAAUGUAGUGUGUCAGCACAUCUGUCACCUGCUGUCUUGCUAAUCAGUGAAGGUGUCACUUUCUGUCAGUCUCGAGGCCUUGUGCACUGACUUCGGUGUGGUUGUAGUUCAUCUGGCGACUGAAUGACAACCAGUGUGAUCCAAGCCAGCUUAAUUCAUGGACUGUGAUUUCAGAACUCAAUUUGUGUCAUUUCUCUGUGAAGAAAGAGAGAAUAACGCAUCAUAAAUCCACAGCUCCCUCUGUGGUAGGCACUGCAAGUUGACCGCAUUCCCACCAAAUGGGCUCUCAAUUAGAAAGAUUUGUGGCUGUGGCAGCACAUUACCAGCUAAGAGGAAGCUGCGAAGACUGUAAAUAUCAGCCUGGCCACGUCUCUCCCAGACACAAGACAGCGCGAACCAAACAAGAGUCUGAGCUGUGUUUUCAUACUCCUUGUCAGAACUGGCUCCCGGGCAUUGGCAGAAUGUUGUAGCCAUAUGUUUUGUGUGCGUGUGUUUUGUCUCUAAAUGUCUAGCUUUGAACUUGCUUGAAGUGUGUAGCUUAUGUUAGAUGUUGUUUCUAACAGAUACAAGUUUCAUAUGUCCAUAUCUAACAUGUAAAAUUUUUUUCUUAGAACAAAUUCUUCUUGCUUUUGAUGCUAUAACAGUAGAUCAUUAGUGUGGAGGUUUUGAGAAACAUUGUGGCUUGUUCAUUCAUUUACCUGAGAGUGCUGGGAUCCCUGGGCUGGUGGUCCUGGUUUCUAUAAGAUCACAUGCUGAUCGAGCCAGUAACCAUCAUCCCACCAUAACCCCAUCAUCAGCUCCUGCCUCCUGGUUUCUGCCCUGUUUGAGUUCCUGCCCUGACUUCCUUUGAUGUGGAAGUGUAAGCUGAAUAAAGACUUUCCUCCCCAACUUGGUUUUGGUCAUGGUGUUUCAUCACUGCAUGGUAACCCUAAUAAUAUCAUGAUGUCGGGCUGGAGAGAUGGCUCAGCGGUUAAGAGCACCCGACUACUCUUCCAGAGGUCCUGAGUUCAAUUCCCAGCAACCACAUGGUGGCUCACAACCAUCUGUAAAGAGAUCCAAUGCCCUCUUCGGGUGCGUCUGAAGACAGCUACAGUGUACUUAUAUGUAAUAAAUAAAUAAAUAAAUCUCUAAAAAAAUAAUAUGAGGAUGUCUUCUAAAUACAUAAGCAAAUCCAUAAACUGUAAAGUAACUCUGUUAGUUUUUAUGUAUAGCAACCCUGGAUUUUCAGUAUUCUCCUGUUGUAUUAUUUUCUCUAGGAAGUGUGGAAAAGAAACUUAACUUUGAUUCUUUCUUAUUACAAAAGUAUAAAUUUUGUCAAGAACUUGUCAUAUUUAAAGCUGUAUUCUGAGUACUUCAUAUGCAUUGCUAACUUGUAGUCAUCAAGUUCAUUAAAUUGAAUACUAUUAUUA